GACGAACGCUGGCGGCGUGCUUAACACAUGCAAGUCGAACGGAAAGGCCCUGCUUUUGUGGGGUGCUCGAGUGGCGAACGGGCGAGCAACACGUGAGUAACCUGCCCUUGACUUUGGGAUAACUUCAGGAAACUGGGGCUAAUACCGGAUAGGAGCUCCUGCUGCAUGGUGGGGGUUGGAAAGUUUCGGCGGUUGGGGAUGGACUCGCGGCUUAUCAGCUUGUUGGUGGGGUAGUGGCUUACCAAGGCUUUGACGGGUAGCCGGCCUGAGAGGGUGACCGGCCACAUUGGGACUGAGAUACGGCCCAGACUCCUACGGGAGGCAGCAGUGGGGAAUAUUGCACAAUGGGCGGAAGCCUGAUGCAGCAACGCCGCGUGCGGGAUGACGGCCUUCGGGUUGUAAACCGCUUUCGCCUGUGACGAAGCGUGAGUGACGGUAAUGGGUAAAGAAGCACCGGCUAACUACGUG
rnacentral:rRNA from 1 species